rnacentral:snRNA from 1 species
AUACUUACCUGGCAGGGGAGAUACCAUGAUCAUGAAGGUGGUUUUCCCAGGGCGAGGCUUAUCCAUUGCACUCCAGAUGUGCUGACCCCUGCGAUUUCCCCAAAUGUGGGAAACUCAACUGCAUAAUUUGUGGUAGUAGGGACUGCAUUCACACUCUCCCCU